rnacentral:rRNA from 1 species
UUCCAGACUCCUACGGGAGGCAGCAGUGGGGAAUAUUGUACAAUGGGGGAAACCCUGAUGCAGCGACGCCGCGUGAGUGAAGAAGUAUUUCGGUAUGUAAAGCUCUAUCAGCAGGGAAGAAAAUGACGGUACCUGACUAAGAAGCCCCGGCUAACUACGUGCCAGCGGCCGCGGUAAUACGUAGGGGGCAAGCGUUAUCCGGAUUUACUGGGUGUAAAGGGAGCGUAGACGGCAUGGCAAGUCAGAUGUGAAAGCCCGGGGCUCAACCCCGGGACUGCAUUUGAAACUGUCAGGCUGGGGUGCAGGAGAGGUAAGUGGAAUUCCUAGUGUAGCGGUGAAAUGCGUAGAUAUUAGGAGGAACACCAGUGGCGAAGGCGGCUUACUGGACUGUAACUGACGUUGAGGCUCGAAAGCGUGGGGAGCAAACAGGAUUAGAUACCCUAGUA